AGACGAUGGCAAAUUGGUUAAUAUUCCAAUACCAACAUUAGUGUGCGAUGGAAGGACGCUUAGGGCUAAGGGGGCUAGCGGAUGGAAGUGCUAGUCUAAGGUCGUAGGAGGUUAUACAGGCAAAUCCGUAUAACAAUACUCCGAGAACUGAAAGGCUUUUUGAAGUCUUCGGAUGGAUAGAAGAACCCCUGAUGCCGUCGAGCCAAGAAAAGUUUCUAAGUUUAGCUAAUGUUGCCCGUACCGUAAACCGACACAGGUGGGUGGGAUGAGUAUUCUAAGGCGCGUGGAAGAACUCUCUUUAAGGAACUCUGCAAAAUAGCACCGUAUCUUCGGUAUAAGGUGUGGUUAGCUUUGUAUUAGGAUUUACUCCGAAAGCAAGGAAACUUACAACAAAGAGUCCCUCCCGACUGUUUACCAAAAACACAGCACUCUGCUAACUCGUAAGAGGAUGUAUAGGGUGUGACGCCUGCCCGGUGCUCGAAGGUUAAUUGAUGGGGUUAGCAUUAGCGAAGCUCUUGAUCGAAGCCCGAGUAAACGGCGGCCGUAACUAUAACGGUCCUAAGGUAGCGAAAUUCCUUGUCGGUUAAAUACCGACCUGCAUGAAUGGCGUAACGAGAUGGGAGCUGUCUCAAAGAGGGAUCCAGUGAAAUUGUAGUGGAGGUGAAAAUUCCUCCUACCCGCGGCAAGACGGAAAGACCCCGUGGACCUUUACUACAGCUUGACACUGCUACUUGGAUAAGAAUGUGCAGGAUAGGUGGGAGGCUUUGAGUAUAUGACGCCAGUUGUAUAUGAGCCAUUGUUGAGAUACCACUCUUUCUUAUUUGGGUAGCUAACCAGCUUGAGUUAUCCUCAAGUGGGACAAUGUCUGGUGGGUAGUUUGACUGGGGCGGUCGCCUCCCAAAUAAUAACGGAGGCUUACAAAGGUUGGCUCAGAACGGUUGGAAAUCGUUCGUAGAGUAUAAAGGUAUAAGCCAGCUUAACUGCAAGACAUACAAGUCAAGCAGAGACGAAAGUCGGUCUUAGUGAUCCGGUGGUUCUGUGUGGAAGGGCCAUCGCUCAAAGGAUAAAAGGUACCCCGGGGAUAACAGGCUGAUCUCCCCCAAGAGCUCACAUCGACGGGGAGGUUUGGCACCUCGAUGUCGGCUCAUCGCAUCCUGGGGCUGGAGCAGGUCCCAAGGGUAUGGCUGUUCGCCAUUUAAAGCGGUACGCGAGCUGGGUUCAGAACGUCGUGAGACAGUUCGGUCCCUAUCUGCCGUGGGCGUAAGAAGAUUGAAGAGAUUUGACCCUAGUACGAGAGGACCGGGUUGAACAAACCACUGGUGUAGCUGUUGUUCUGCCAAGAGCAUCGCAGCGUAGCUAAGUUUGGAAAGGAUAAACGCUGAAAGCAUCUAAGCGUGAAGCCAACUCUAAGAUGAAUCUUCUCUAAGCUCUCUAGAAGACUACUAGUUUGAUAGGCUGGGUGUGUAAUGGAUGAAAGUCCUUUAGCUGACCAGUACUAAUAGAGCGUUUGGCUUAUCUUUA
rnacentral:rRNA from 1 species